rnacentral:rRNA from 1 species
AUUGAACGCUGGCGGCAUGCCUUACACAUGCAAGUCGAACGGUAACAGGUCUUCGGAUGCUGACGAGUGGCGAACGGGGGAGUAAUACAUCGGAACGUGCCCGAGAGUGGGGGAUAACGAAGCGAAAGCUUUGCUAAUACCGCAUACGAUCACAGGAUGAAAGCAGGGGACCGCAAGGCCUUGCGCUCACGGAGCGGCCGAUGGCAGAUUAGGUAGUUGGUGGGAUAAAAGCUUACCAAGCCGAAGAUCUGUAGCUGGUCUGAGAGGACGACCAGCCACACUGGGACUGAGACACGGCCCAGACUCCUACGGGAGGCAGCAGGGGGGAAUUUUGGACAAUGGGCGCAAGCCUGAUCCAGCCAUGCCGCGUGCAGGAUGAAGGCCUUCGGGUUGUAAACUGCUUUUGUACGGAACGAAAAGACUCCUUCUAAUAAAGGGGGUCCAUGACGGUACCGUAAGAAUAAGCACCGGCUAACUACGUGCCAGCAGCCGCCGUAACAC